AUCUUCACAGGAAGUACUUCUGCCUGAUGAGGAGUCUGUGGAGAAGCGCUGCGCUCUAGGGAAGGGUGGAAGAUCCCGGGAGAGUGAACUCAAGUCUGGAUCCUAACAGAAGACAUGAAUGGUGAUAGAACAGAGGCCUCAUAUCCAUUGCAACUGGAGGAUCUACAGCAUCAGGCAGGGACUAAAACAAAGGUUCCUACGCAGUGCUUUAGUAACAAGUGGAUGCUGGGUCAUCUGACGCACCAUCAACACGUCAGGGCACUCCAAAACCGGAUGGAUGAGGAUGGAACUAGACUUUGCCUUUUUUUCCGUUAACUCAAGACAACAACCAAGGGUAGUCCCAAAAGGUGGGCCUGGAGUCUUCUUCUAAGCACCAGACAAGGAAAAAAACAUCAAGGCAGGCAUUAUAGGAUGAAUGGAAAGCGUCCUGACGUUGUGAAUCUGGUAGUGGAUCAGUGAGGACGGCGACAGAAGAGUCACAGUGAGCUUUCUGUAGAAGAUCUUCCACAU